GAGGGGAGUCGGAUGGCCCCGAGGAUGUUGGUAGGGGGAGCAGGGAGAAGUCAUCCUCCCACUCAUACCCUGCACCUGAGGGAAGCAAUGUUGCUCUGUUGGGUCUGAUCCGCCACCAGCAGGUUUCCAUGCACCUCAUCCACCACCUCUGGAGCGAUCCAGCGCAGUGGCACAUACAUUUGAUCCGACGUCACAUAGUAAUCAUCCUAAUGGGGGGGCAUGAUAUUCACCGUUUGCCUAUUUGCCCUCUAGUGGUUGUUACUUGGCAUGGUGAAGUCUAGAGCCAGCAAACUGCACCAGAAGCACUUUCUUCUGUUUUCUGCUUCUUUUUCAGCCAAAUACCCCGGACAAAUAAAAUGAUUUGCUUGCAAAGUAAAACUGUUCGUGUGCAUGUU